AUUGAACGCUUGCGGCAGGCCUAACACAUGCAAGUCGAGCGAGCGGCGGACGGGUGAGUAAUGUAUGGGGACUGCCCGAUAGAGGGGGAUCACUACUGGAAACGGUGGCUACUACCGCAUACUAUCGGAUAACCCAUAUGGGAUUAGCUAGUAGGUGGGGUAAAGGCUCACCUAGGCGACGAUCUCUAGCUGUUCUGAGAGGAGGUUCAGCCAAACUGGGACGGAGAAACGGCCCAGACUCCUACGGAGGCAGCAGUGGGGAAUAUUCCACAAUGGGCGAAAGGCUGAUGCAGCCAUGCCGCGUGAAUGAAGAAGGCCUUAGGGUUGUAAAGUGCUUUCAGCGGGGAGGCGUUACCCGACGAGGAAGCACCGGCUAACUACGUGCCAGCAGCCGCGGUAAUAC
rnacentral:rRNA from 1 species